UAAUACGUAGGUGGCGAGCGUUGUCCGGAUUUACUGGGCGUAAAGGGCUUGUAGGCGGUCCGUUAAGUCCGAUGUGAAAUCUCCCGGCUCAACUGGGAGAGGUCAUUGGAUACUGGCGGACUAGAGGGGGGUAGAGGAAAGCAGAAUUCCUGGUGUAGCGGUGAAAUGCGUAGAUAUCAGGAGGAAUACCAGUGGCGAAGGCGGCUUUCUGGGCCUACCCUGACGCUGAGGAGCGAAAGCGUGGGGAGCAAACCGGAUUAGAUACCCGGGUAGUCCACGCCCUAAACGGUGGAUGCUAGGUGUGGGGGGUGUCGACCCCCUCCGUGCCGCAGCUAACGCUUUAAGCAUCCCGCCUGGGGAGUACGGCCGCAAGGCUA
rnacentral:rRNA from 1 species